rnacentral:rRNA from 1 species
CCUACGGGCGGCAGCAGUGGGGAAUAUUGGACAAUGGGCGAAAGCCUGAUCCAGCCAUGCCGCGUGUGUGAAGAAGGCCUUCGGGUUGUAAAGCACUUUCAGUGGGGAAGAAAGCCUUGGGGCUAAUACCCUCGAGGAAGGACAUCACCCACAGAAGAAGCACCGGCUAACUCCGUGCCAGCAGCCGCGGUAAUACGGAGGGUGCGAGCGUUAAUCGGAAUUACUGGGCGUAAAGCGCGCGUAGGCGGUCUGAUAAGCCGGUUGUGAAAGCCCCGGGCUCAACCUGGGAACGGCAUCCGGAACUGUCAGGCUAGAGUGCAGGAGAGGAAGGUAGAAUUCCCGGUGUAGCGGUGAAAUGCGUAGAGAUCGGGAGGAAUACCAGUGGCGAAGGCGGCCUUCUGGACUGACACUGACGCUGAGGUGCGAAAGCGUGGGUAGCAAACAGGAUUAGAUACCCGUGUAGUC